AUUGAACGCUGGCGGCAUGCCUUACACAUGCAAGUCGAACGGUAACAGGUUAAGCUGACGAGUGGCGAACGGGUGAGUAAUAUAUCGGAACGUGCCCAGUCGUGGGGGAUAACGUAGCGAAAGCUACGCUAAUACCGCAUACGAUCUACGGAUGAAAGCGGGGGAUCGCAAGACCUCGCGCGAUUGGAGCGGCCGAUAUCAGAUUAGGUUGUUGGUGAGGUAAAAGCUCAACAAGCCUGCGAUCUGUAGCUGGUCUGAGAGGACGACCAGCCACGCUGGAACUGAGACACGGUCCAGACUCCUACGGGAGGCAGCAGUGGGGAAUUUUGGACAAUGGACGCAAGUCUGAUCCAGCAAUGCCGCGUGCAGGACGAAGGCCUUCGGGUUGUAAACUGCUUUUGUACGGAACGAAACGGUGAGCUCUAAUACAGUUUGCUAAUGACGGUACCGUAAGAAUAAGCACCGGCUAACUACGUGCCAGCAGCCGCCGUAA
rnacentral:rRNA from 1 species